AGAGUUUGAUCCUGGCUCAGAUUGAACGCUGGCGGCAUGCCUUACACAUGCAAGUCGAACGGUAACAGGUUAAGCUGACGAGUGGCGAACGGGUGAGUAAUAUAUCGGAACGUGCCCAGUAGUGGGGGAUAGCCCGGCGAAAGCCGGAUUAAUACCGCAUACGACCUACGGGUGAAAGCGGGGGAUCGCAAGACCUCGCGCUAUUGGAGCGGCCGAUAUCAGAUUAGCUAGUUGGUGGGGUAAAAGCCCACCAAGGCGACGAUCUGUAGCUGGUCUGAGAGGACGACCAGCCACACUGGGACUGAGACACGGCCCAGACUCCUACGGGAGGCAGCAGUGGGGAAUUUUGGACAAUGGACGCAAGUCUGAUCCAGCCAUGCCGCGUGCGGGAAGAAGGCCUUCGGGUUGUAAACCGCUUUUGUCAGGGAAGAAAAGUCUUGGGUUAAUACCUCGGGACGAUGACGGUACCUGAAGAAUAAGCACCGGCUAACUACGUGCCAGCAGCCGCGGUAAU
rnacentral:rRNA from 1 species